AAUCAACGCUGGCGGCGUGCCUAACACAUGCAAGUCGAACGCGAAAGGGGGCUUCGGUCCUGAGUAGAGUGGCGAACGGGUGAGUAACACGUGGGUGAUCUACCUUCGAGUGGGGGAUAACGUUCCGAAAGGAGCGCUAAUACCGCAUGACGUUCUGGGUUUGAAGACCUGGAAACCAAAGCCGGGGACCGCAAGGCCUGGCGCUAGGAGAGGAGCCCGCGCCUGAUUAGCUAGUUGGUGAGGUAAUGGCUCACCAAGGCGACGAUCAGUAGCCGGCCUGAGAGGGCGGACGGCCACACUGGGACUGAGACACGGCCCAGACUCCUACGGGAGGCAGCAGUGGGGAAUUGUUCGCAAUGGGCGCAAGCCUGACGACGCAACGCCGCGUGGAGGAUGAAGGUCUUCGGAUUGUAAACUCCUGUUGACCGGG
rnacentral:rRNA from 1 species